CAGGGAAGGCUGAGGAAUGCAAGUGAAUGUAAAAACCACCUGGAGGGAAGCAUUGCAGCAAGAAAGGAACAGCAAGUGCAGAGGCCUGAGGCAGAACCAGCAGGGAAAAUGCUUUGAGGUGAGGCAGGUUCCAUGAAAACCUGGAAGAAAUAUUCCUGAGGACCAUCCAACACCAUUUCCCUGAGAGACAAGCUUGAUAUUAUCGGCCAUUGAUGGCUCAUAUUCACCUGUGAGGAAUUACAGAAUGAUCUUUCAAAUCAUUCCUUCUUUAUGAACUGG